CCCUUAGAUGUUCUGGGCUGCACGCGCGCUACACUGAUGCGCUCAACGAGUUUAUGAACUUGCCCGGAAGGGUUGGUUAAUCUUUUUAAAACGCAUCGUGAUGGGGAUAGAUUAUUGCAAUUAUUAAUCUUCAACGAGGAAUUCCUAGUAAGCGCGAGUCAUCAGCUCGUGCUGAUUACGUCCCUGCCCUUUGUACACACCGCCCGUCGCUCCUACCGAUUGAGUGGUCCGGUGAGGCUUUGGGAUCUGAGCGGAAAGAGCGUUUCGCUGUUUCUGCUUGGAAAACUCAGUCGAACCUUAUCAUUUAGAGGAAGGAGAAGUCGUAACA
rnacentral:rRNA from 1 species